UACUCCUGCUAAAGUUACUCAAAGCGACGAGCUAGGCGCAGCGAGGAUCUUUGAUUACUCCCGCUGAAGUUACUCAAAGCGACGAGCUGGGCUGAGCGAGGAGCUUUGAUUACUCCAACUGAAGCUAUUCAAAGCGACGAUCUAGGCUGAGCGAGGAGAUUUGAUUACUGUGAUGGUUUUUAUUUUUUAUUUUUUACACGUAGUGGCUUUUUGAGUGGGUGAUUUUUCCUUUUAUUGGGUAGGUAACUGUCAUUUAUUGCCCCUUUUUAAUUCUUACUGCUCACAUCUCUUCGUCUUCUUCAUUUGCUUCCUUCUUUUUCCUUUUUACCCUAAUUUCAAAAGACUUCGUCUUGCUCAUUCACUCCCCAACACAAAGUCGUGGUUUUUCUUUUCUCCCUUUACAAUUCUCCAACUUCUUCGCCCUUUUUCGAAUUUUGCAAAUUUCUAAGCGUUGUUCGUUGUUUCGUUCAUCGCGAAUUGUUUGUUACCCAGUUCUUGUCGUUCGCCGUUAUUAAAGGUACUGUCUUUCAACCUUGUUCCGCCAUUUUUGUACUUAAUUUGUAAAAUUAAGUAUAUUUCUCCCCAAAUUUGCGCUUUAUUGCUUCGCCUUUCUGUUAAUUAGCCCUUGUAUACUAGUUUUCUUGUUUAAAGGCCAAUUCUUUUCUUGUUGUUGUAUUUCCUCUCUCCAUUGUUGUUUUACUGUUCAUUCUUAAGUUGAUUUUCCCCUUUUCUUGACUUUGCUUCCUUGUUGGGGGGUUUUUGAUUUCAUACUCCUUCACCAAGUUUUGAUCUUUCGGCUCUGUCGGAUGUCUCUGAUAGUCAAAAUGUGUCUUCCCGCUCUUACGUUGGCGGUAGCGAGUCCGAGUUUACUUCUUGUUCCGAGUCGGCUCGUUCAGGUGAGCCUCUCAAGCCAUCUGUCCUUUAUUCCUCUCAUGUUUCUUGUAUCCCUCUUGAAGUUAUAUAUCCCCCUAGCCAUGAUACUUCUGCGGGAAGUACUUCUGCCACUGGUGCUCCUAACAUAGUAGAGGCGACUGUCCCUAGCGCUUUUCACCCUUACCUUCGUGGUAGGGUGCGCGAUGAUACUUUUGACCUUAUUAUGAGAGGGAAUUAGUGACUAAGGGUGUCGUGCUGCCUCAUCUUCUCCGUCUGAGGCUAUGUGCUGUUCGCCACGAGCGAUUAGCACUGGAGGUCAAGGCUAACCGUCCUACUAAUGCUCCCAUAAGCCCUUUUUUGAUGUACUUCCUUUGCGUGAGUUUGCUUGGUUGGAUUAUAUAUCUGAUAUGCACUGUUUUGAUCAUUAUGUAGUGCGCAGUUCAACUCUUGUCACUGGUUUGAUGGCUGCCCCUCAGUCUCAGUCCCCAAGUGAUGCAGGCUUGCAUGCCUGCCAGCCGUGGUUUAUAAAUGAGGUGGCUCCUCCAAGUGAUGCCUCGUUCUACCUAGACGAUAAGGUUGAAGGUCCUAAGCUAUGCACACUGAGUUUAGACUGGCGGUCUUUAGCAGACCGUCUCAAGCUUGCGGAGUGUGGUAACUCAUUUUUUGGGCUGGGUUUAGGUUAUGAGCUGGUGUUGACCUGAGGCCACCUUUCUGACCCCCCUGCCGAUCAUAUUGCUGUCUUUGCCUCUUAGCUGGAUGUGGGGUUGAGGUUUCCCCUAGACCCAACUCUAGAUAAGUUGUUGCGUGCCUUUAACAUCCUUCUCUCUUUGAUUUUAUCAGUUUCCUUGCACACAUUAAUUUGCUUACUCUGGACGGUGCGCUACAAGCGCUUUCCUGAGUCCUUAAACUUGUUUCACUCCUUGUUUAGCUUCAAACGAAGCAAUUUAGUGUAGACUCUGGUUGGUUUUAUCUUGCACCUAAGCCCAAAAGGGUCUUGUCCUACCCUAAGCUAGGUCGCUUUAAGGACUGGCAAGGGAAAUUCUUCUGGUUACGUGUCCCUACUGAUUUUGGGUGCUCUGGUUUCUUCUGCUCUGUAAGAUCAAACACGGGUGGCGUUACUCUGUAGCCGACUGAUGUUGUCAAAGAAGCUCAAGCUUAUGCUCAUUUUGAGGGUGAAUAUUACGCACCCAAGGUAUGGCUUCCCAACUGCUUGUAUGUCAUUGGGAACGCUCAGCUCUCUGCCGUGCGAUUAUGUUCAACCCAUGAGUCUGGUUAUGAUAAGUUGGACAAGGUGUUGUUGGGUGUAAAUGAUACCUAGAAUCCUGUCUUAAAGACUCGAGGAUAUUCCCCUUAUCCUUUUGAGGUAUUGGAAUUUUAUACUGUCGCUCGAGCUAGCGAGACACGUCCAGGCCCUCUCAAAUUUAGACAUGGUUCAACCACUACUGGCGGUUCUGGUCGUUCUACGCCCACUGUACGAGCAGAGGCUGAGCCAGAACUUUCUACUACUGGUAAUGAUCAAGCCAAAGGGGCUAAUAACUCUCCUCAGAAGUCUGGGUCAUUGGCUGCGCUGAUUUCUUCGGCUACAAUCAUCGGUCUAUUGGGCAUGUUCUGCCCUCCCUUGGGGAGACUUCUCUUCCUACUACGCAGAGUGUUCUUGGCCACGUGUCUACUUCUGCCAAGCAUGUUCUACACGAAACCCCUUUUUCUAUAGGUCUUGCUAUUCUAAUUCCUAGGUUUGUCUCCACUUUUUCUGAUACUACCAUAACUCACAACCCCCUUUCUCAGCUUUGGUCCUCUACUUCCAGGUACCAAGGUGGUUUGUGCAAUUAUCGUCGUGGUAGGCACCCACCUAGCAUUUCCGACAAGGGGACCCCUACUGUAAUUAUUGAUUUGGAACCGUUCUCCUCCUUACGAGCCUUCUCCGAAGAGGGCCCGGAUUCCAACUGUGGAGGAGCUAUUUGCAUCAGCCUCUGGCCAAUCUAAGCCUGCCCUUGCAUUAAAUUCUUAAGGUGGAGCUGCUCCUGCCUCCAGCAACCUCAAUCGCUGUGUGAACCUGUAUUUUGGGGAAGCUUAUGUCCAUCCCUUCUCGGCUUCCUCUAGGUCUGCAGCUGGAACUUUCAGGGCAACUAGCCCUCUUGAAUUUUUUGAGGUUCACAUUGAUCCUUCUCUAUGACCUGUGUUAUGCCCCUCUAGGGUGAUUGACGAGCCAUUCCGCUCUUCAAUGAACGUUAAGCCUGACGAGUCCAUCUUUCUUGAUUGAUGGCCUCCAGGGAGGCACCCUUUGGUUCAGGCUGACCCAGGGUGUUAGGCUCCCUACCGGCUCUAGAAACGAGUAUGUCAGUAUUUCUGCUGCUACUGCCUGCCAUGACUUGUAGAGGGUAUGUUUAAUAUUUUUCCUUCUUUUCCUUAUUCUCUUUACUUAUACUUUUCUUGCUUGCUUUACAUUUGAGAUCUUACUGCAUUUUUUGCAAUUGUGUCAACUUACUCACUUUGUUGGGGAUUUAGCCAAUGCUUUAUUGUUUAGUGAGAAAGAAUAACAGUCUCAAGGCUCGAACUUGAAUGCGAAGAUUGCUGAACUUGAGCUCGUAUUAGUGGAGAAAGGAGAGCUUGAGCAAGGGUUAAAGGCGAGGAGUGCUAAGCUAGAGGCUGCUCAGCUACAACUGGCUAAACACCUUCCUUCAACUCAGAAGUUAGCCGAAUGUGAAGAGGAACUGAAACAAGCUCAUGUUAGAGUGCAGGACUUGGAGGCACUCGUAGCUCGCUUGGAGGGAGAUAAUGAUGUGGUGUUAGAAGCAGCUCGCAAAUGCCUUGGUGUAGUUUGUUUCUUCCCCCACCUUUGUGAACUUGCUCACUUACCAGCACGAUAGAGGUUGGGAGGCUGUGUGUAGGAAGGCUAAUAAUAUCUUUGGCACGGGUAAGGAGCAAUAGAAAAAAUUUGAGCAAUUUUGGGCCAGGGGUUAUUAGGCAGGGAACCAAUAUGCCUAUGUUCACCCUACUGACAAUGCUCGCAUGGUAGCCUAUAAUAUCCCAGCCCAUGCCGUUCUCAACAAGGUUCCCAACGAGUCUCCUAAUAUUAUCGCUGCCGUUGGGGUGGAGGCUCUACUUGCCAACUAAUAAAUGUAUUGGCGGCCAUCUCCCUCUUUUUCCUGUGGCUCAUCUGAGUAUCCCUCUCCCCGUUCUAUAGUAAGCUAGUGCUCUUAGUUUUUUCCAUUGGGGUGUAUGGCCGCCAGUGGGUAUAUGUUUGAGGCUCUUAGGCUGUAUGUGGCCAGGCCGCUUAUUGGAACUGUUUCCCUUUUAGCGUUAUGACAAUACUUUUGUGUUUUGGAUUCUUACUUUGCUUACCUAGUGCCAAGGGGUUUCUGGCACAAGUUUGAAUCUAUUGUGUGUAUGCC